UCAGCUCUCUUUGCCUUUUGGCUCAGAUCAAGUGAAGUAGCUGUUCUUUUUAGUUUAAUCUCUAAAACGCCCCUACGGGGGCAUUUUCUUGAUUAAACUAGUUUUUGGAGAUCGGCUGGUGGCCGCUGGGCUCCGCUCAUGUCACUGGUCACGGUGUCGCCUCUAUUGCACUGCCUGGGGCUGACGCGACCUUCU
rnacentral:snRNA from 1 species